rnacentral:lncRNA from 1 species
CAAGCAAAUCGCUGAUGAAGGAGGGCACAGAUCGGUAGAUCCGGAAGCGUCGAUUUCGCGGAAUCGACGAGGAAGAAGUAGCAAAGGGUUUAGCCAGAUGUGAGGAACUUACGACCAACGCUGACGAGGGGAGGUGAGGCGACGACCGGAGGUGGGGCCGAAGAGGAGGUGAGGCGAGGGGAGGUGAGGCGAUGAUAGGAGGUGAGACCGGAGGAGAUGUGAGGCGGCGACGAGGGGAGGUGAGGCGAUGAGGGGAGGUGAGGCCGGAGGGGAGGUGAGGCGACGACCGGAGGUGAGGCCGGAGGGGAGGUAAGGCGACGACCGGAGGUGAUGAGGCGAAGAUCAGAGGUGAAGCAACGAGAGGGGAGGACAGGCGACGAGCGAUGGUGAGGUCGGAGCGAAGGUGAGGCCGAAGGGGAGGUGAGGUGACGACCGAAGGUGAUGCGGCGAAGACCGGAGGUGAGGCAACGAGAGGGGAGGACAGGCGACAAGCGAAGGUGAGGCCGGAGCGAAGGUGAGGCCGGGGGGGCUUCGGGCCGAGGUGAAGGGGAUCCGACGGUUAACCUUGGAGAGCAAGGCGUGGGAGAGGGGCGUGAAGCUUGGGGAGCAAGGCGUGAGAAUGAGGAGGAAGAGAAAGAAGCUGGAGAGGAGAAAGAGGAGAGUGGAGCUCGGGAAAUGUGCAGGGAUAAAGCUGGGAGGGGGUGGGGUU